rnacentral:rRNA from 1 species
AGAGUUCGAUCCUGGCUCAGGAUUAACGCUGGCGGCGUGCCUAAUACAUGCAAGUCGAGCGAGGAAAGUAGCAAUACUUUUCGAGCGGCGAACGGGUGAGUAACACGUUGGGAAUCUACCCCUGAGACCGGAAUACCUGGAAGAAAUUUCAGCUAAUGCCGGAUACGUGGUCAACACAGAAGUGAUGAUCAUAAAAGGCGGCCUUAAAGCCGCGCUGAGGGAUGAACCUGCGGCGCAUUAGCUAGUUGGUGAGAUAAAAGCCCACCAAGGCGAGGAUGCGUAGCCGACCUGAGAGGGUGAACGGCCACACUGGAACUGAGACACGGUCCAGACUCCUACGGGAGGCAGCAGUAGGGAGUAUUCGGCAAUGGGGGAAACCCUGACCGAGCAACGCCGCGUGAAUGAUGAAGGUCUUCGGAUUGUAAAAUUCUGUGGUAAGAGAAGAAAGAUAUAAAGAGGAAAUGCUUUGUAUUUGACGGUAUCUUGCUAGAAAGCCACGGCUAACUACGUGCCAGCAGCCGCGGUAAUACGUAGGUGGCAAGCGUUAUCCGGAAUUACUGGGCGUAAAGAGUGAGCAGGCGGUUAGAUAAGUCUAUGGUUAAAUGCAACAGCUCAACUGUUGUUCGCUAUAGAAACUAUUUAACUAGAGUGCGGGAGAGGUAAGUGGAACUCCAUAUGUAGCGGUGGAAUGCUUAGAUAUAUGGAAGAACACCAGAGGCGAAGGCGGCUUACCAGUCCGUAACUGACGCUCAGUCACGAAAGCGUGGGGAGCAAAUAGGAUUAGAUACCCUAGUAGUCCACGCCGUAAACGAUGAGAACCUGAUGCAGGAGAUAUUCUGUGUCGAAGCUAACGCGUUAAGUUCUCCGCCUGGGUACUACGUUCGCAAGAAUAAAACUUAAAGGAAUUGACGGGCGCCCGCACAAGCAGUGGAGCAUGGGGUUUAAUUCGUCGAUACACGAAAAACCUUACCAGGGCUUGACAUCCCGCUAAAAGCCUUAGAAAUAAGGAAAUAGUUAUAGCGGUGACAGGUGGUGCAUGGUUGUCGUCAGCUCGUGCCGUGAGGUGUUAGGUUAAGUCCUCAAACGAGCGCAACCCUUGUCUUUAGUUGCCAUUAUUAAUUUAGGAACUCUAGAGAGACUGC